UACGUAGGGGGCGAGCGUUGUCCGGAGUUACUGGGCGUAAAGGGUGCGUAGGCGGUUGGAUAAGUCUGGUGUGAAAUCCCAUGGCUCAACCAUGGAACUGCACUGGAUACUGUCUGACUGGAGUUCGGUAGGGGUGACUGGAAUCCCCGGUGUAACGGUGAAAUGUAUAGAUAUCGGGGGGAACACCUGUGGCGAAGGCGGGUCACUGGGCCGCAACUGACGCUGAGACGCGAAAGCGUGGGGAGCAAACAGGAUUAGAAACCCUAGUAGU
rnacentral:rRNA from 1 species